AGCUUGCUGCUUCGCUGACGAGUGGCGGACGGGUGAGUAAUGUCUGGGAAACUGCCUGAUGGAGGGGGAUAACUACUGGAAACGGUGGCUAAUACCGCAUAACGUCGCAAGACCAAAGAGGGGGACCUUCGGGCCUCUUGCCAUCAGAUGUGCCCAGAUGGGAUUAGCUUGUUGGUGAGGUAACGGCUCACCAAGGCGACGAUCCCUAGCUGGUCUGAGAGGAUGACCAGCCACACUGGAACUGAGACACGGUCCAGACUCCUACGGGAGGCAGCAGUGGGGAAUAUUGCACAAUGGGCGCAAGCCUGAUGCAGCCAUGCCGCGUGUAUGAAGAAGGCCUUCGGGUUGUAAAGUACUUUCAGCGGGGAGGAAGGUGUUGUGGUUAAUAACCGCAGCAAUUGACGUUACCCGCAGAAGAAGCACCGGCUAACUCCGUGCCAGCAGCCGCGGUAAUACGGAGGGUGCAAGCGUUAAUCGGAAUUACUGGGCGUAAAGCGCACGCAGGCGGUCUGUCAAGUCGGAUGUGAAAUCCCCGGGCUCAACCUGGGAACUGCAUUCGAAACUGGCAGGCUUGAGUCUUGUAGAGGGAAAGUAGAAUUCCAUGGGUUA
rnacentral:rRNA from 1 species